rnacentral:hammerhead_ribozyme from 1 species
AUCCAGCUGGCCAGUCCCAAAUAGGACGAAACGCGCGUCCUGGAU